rnacentral:rRNA from 1 species
UACGGGCAGCAGUGGGGAAUAUUGCACAAUGGGCGCAAGCCUGAUGCAGCCAUGCCGCGUGUAUGAAGAAGGCCUUCGGGUUGUAAAGUACUUUCAGUCGUGAGGAAGGUGUUAAGGUUAAUAACCUUAGCAAUUGACGUUAGCGACAGAAGAAGCACCGGCUAACUCCGUGCCAGCAGCCGCGGUAAUACGGAGGGUGCGAGCGUUAAUCGGAAUUACUGGGCGUAAAGGGCACGCAGGCGGUUAAUUAAGUUGGAUGUGAAAUCCCCGGGCUUAACCUGGGAAUGGCAUUCAAGACUGGUUAGCUAGAGUCUUGUAGAGGGGGGUAGAAUUCCAUGUGUAGCGGUGAAAUGCGUAGAGAUGUGGAGGAAUACCGGUGGCGAAGGCGGCCCCUGGACAAAGACUGACGCUCAUGUGCGAAAGCUGGGGAGCAAACAGGGAUUAGAUACC